rnacentral:rRNA from 1 species
CCUUGGCCAUACAACCUUGGACAUACCCAGUGUCAUCUGAAGUUGGAAAUCAAGCAGGGCCAGUCCCAGUUAAUACUUAGAAAGUAGACUGCCUGAGAAUACAGGGUACUCUAAGCU